GUUGAGGUCUGUCCUGACUGACCUUGCUCUGUAGGAUCAUGUCAUUGGAAAUGCCUCAAAGAGUAAAUCUGUAGUCUUGCUUUACCCACAUGUUCACCACCAUGGGCAUGCUGGGAUAUCACUGCAGAACACCA